GGUUUCGUAACUCAGUUGGUUAGAGUGUCAGCUUUACAGAUUACUCUUUGGACGCUGAAAGUCGUCGGUUCGAUCCCGACCGAAGCCA